rnacentral:tRNA from 1 species
AAGUUUAGGUUAAACAAACCAGGGACCUUCAAAGCCCCAAAUAAGAGCCAGUCAUCCCUCCUAACUUCU